UUUAUAACAUAAAUAUCUCUCUCUCUCACUUUCAUGUCAAUUUUGUAUUUCUAUUUAUGUUUAUAUAACACCCAAUAAUGGCCAUGUUAUACGCAGGAAAUUAUGCUAAUUUGUGGGCUCCACGUAUUCGUAUAUACAUAUGUAUAGACGUACCUACAAUGAAAAUUGGUAAUAUUAAUGGUAAUAAUAUUCGCCAGUGAAAUCAUUAAUCAAUUGUGAAAUUGGGUGGGGUAGACCCACGGAGUAAAACUCAAAAAUCAAACACCGAUUCCAGUGCAAUGACCAAUCGACUAUACUUAUGGAUAGUAUCGUUUCACAACACUCCGCGGGUCUCGAAGCUAUGAAUACCUAAGCAGGCCCAGGGUGGCUCCAAAGUAUUCAGUAACGAGUACUUUAUACUCGGCAGUCAGCAGCAAGAAACGAGGUCCAACACCCAACCUCAAAUGGAGUUGGCGUCGUGGCUGAAUGCCCUCACGUACCAUUCGACGUCGGCAGAUAGUGGACUCAAGUCGGACGCGACUUAAACAUGGCUGGAAUUGGAUGGUGAUGAUGGCGCGUCGAAUAACCGUUAUGGUAAUUUCUUCAAUCAAUUCCCCAAACAGAACAUUUUGCGUAACGGCGUAAAGUUAACGAACCCCAUUCGGUUCAACGUGCCGCGCACAAAUUAAGCAAGUGCUGGUUAUACGAUCGCCCCCCAACAUUUGAUGUCUUUAUCGCACUCAAGUACUUUCCCAACAUCUUCAAUCCCGAUGCCAACUUCCAGAUUGUAGAUUACGUUAAAUCCAUCGCUGCACAGUGGACUUGAGUGGCCAAUAGAUCUGACUUUUUUAAAUAACUUUAGUAUAGCAUUUUAGUAUUCGAUCUGUUUUGCUUUGGCAUAACAUUCUCAAUUCUCUGUUCGACAUUUGUGAGGGAUUAUAACUAAAAUCAUGCAUUUUAAUUUUAGAUUACGCCGUUGGUCUAUGAGAUGCUACAAAUACGAAUUUACUAAUAAUGAUCUUCUGACUUCUCUACAUCAAAUUGCACUGCGCACUGCAACGUUGCCAUCUAAAUCUUAGAUGAUUGUGUGUAAAUCCGUCGACAAGUUGCAACUGUCUGCGAGCAGCAGGCGACGGGCAACUCGCAACUGGCAACUCGCUGUGCUACUUAAUGUGCAUAUGUCUGCUUGCGGAGGAGAGGAGUCUGGUCUCAGUCGCAGUCGCAGUCGCAGUUGUAGUCGCUGCGAAUCUAUCGUAUAUAAAUAUUUACAAGUGAUUGGUCUUGUCUCUAAGUUUCAGACAGGUUUCACUAUAUUCAAUCGACGACACGGGCUGUAUUUUGUUUUGUUUUUGGGCUCUGUGUGGCAACUACAACUACAACUACAAUUGUGACUGUGAGAGCAACGGUAUCGGUAUCGUUCCGGGUUCGAUUCCGUCCCGUUUGCACGAUUACGUGUCAAGAGUUGCAGCCAGCCAUGUUUAAGUCCGAAUAUACAGUUGUCGAUCUCCGUAUACACACACAAUGACAAUGCACUUGAACAUCUUGUAAAUCUUUGAUGUUUGGUUUACUUUUUAUGGACGCCACUUUGAAAAGAGUAACAACGAAUUUCACCCAAUUUGCCACAAUAGCAAAAUACACAUGCUAUGUAUAACAAUAACACACUAGUUGAACCCAUUUUCUGUACAACAUACGCCAAAUUUGAUUUCAUUUUAUUUCAUUAUUCAUUAUUUUUAGCCUCCACUGCUUAGACUCCAGCCGAAAUUCAAAAAUAAAACUCAGUACACUUGACACUUGGCUGCUGUGCACGUCUGGCAACAGCAACAACAACAACAACGGCAACGGAACGACACGACAGCGACGCACUCAAAACGGGCCAUGCGCACCUGCGAUGCCUGCGAACUACAACUAAACUGAACUGACGCUGCCAACGUCGCUUGCUAACGGCUUAGGCCUCAUUCAUGCAAGCUGAGAGCUGAGACUCUAUGGCUGCGUCGGUGACGGUGACUGCGACCGCGACAGAGUCAGCGAUGUCUGCGCUCUUCACUCUCCAUGCAGAAAAUGAUGUCGAAUUGAUGAGUCGUUAAAAUACUGAUGAUAUGUACAAACACAAAAUAUCUACAUAUAAAUUCUUCGGGAAGCUGAUUCAUUCAAGAUCACACACUCAGUACAUAUACGCACCAUUAAC